rnacentral:rRNA from 1 species
AGUGAACGCUGGCGGUAGGCCUAACACAUGCAAGUCGAACGGCAGCACAGUAAGAGCUUGCUCUUACGGGUGGCGAGUGGCGGACGGGUGAGGAAUACAUCGGAAUCUACUUUUUCGUGGGGGAUAACGUAGGGAAACUUACGCUAAUACCGCAUACGACCUACGGGUGAAAGCAGGGGAUCUUCGGACCUUGCGCGAUUGAAUGAGCCGAUGUCGGAUUAGCUAGUUGGCGGGGUAAAGGCCCACCAAGGCGACGAUCCGUAGCUGGUCUGAGAGGAUGAUCAGCCACACUGGAACUGAGACACGGUCCAGACUCCUACGGGAGGCAGCAGUGGGGAAUAUUGGACAAUGGGCGCAAACCUGAUCCAGCCAUACCGCGUGGGUGAAGAAGGCCUUCGGGUUGUAAAGCCCUUUUGUUGAGAAAAAAAAGCAGCAGGUUAAUACCCCGCUGUUCUGACGGUACCCAAAGAAUAAGCACCGGCUAACUUCGUG